rnacentral:rRNA from 1 species
CCUACGGGAGGCAGCAGUGGGGAAUAUUGCGCAAUGGGGAAACCCUGACGCAGCAACGCCGCGUGAGUGAGGAAGGACUUCGGUCUGUAAAGCUCUGUUAAUGUGGAAAAAUGGUAGUUGGUCUAAUAGGCCGAUUAUUUGAUGGUACACAUAGAGGAAGCACCGGCUAACUUCGUGCCAGCAGCCGCGGUAAUACGAAGGGUGCAAGCGUUGUUCGGAUUUAUUGGGCGUAAAGCGCGCGUAGGCGGACCUGUAAGUCAGAUGUGAAAUCUCGGGGCUCAACCUCGAAACUGCGUCUGAAACUGCAGGUCUAGAAUCUCGGAGGGGGAAGGGGAAUUUCGCAUGUAGGGGUAAAAUCCGUAGAUAUGCGAAGGAACACCAGAGGCGAAGGCGCCUUCCUGGACGAGUAUUGACGCUGAGGCGCGAAAGCGUGGGGAUCAAACAGGAUUAGAUACCCUGGUAGUCCACGCUGUAAACUAUGAACACUAGGUAUUGGAGGAUUUGACCCCUUCAGUGCCGUAGCUAACGCGUUAAGUGUUCCGCCUGGGAAGUACGGUCGCAAGCUAAAACUCAAAUGAAUUGACCGG